GUGGGGAAUAUUGGACAAUGGGCGAAAGCCUGAUCCAGCCAUGCCGCGUGUGUGAAGAAGGUCUUCGGAUUGUAAAGCACUUUAAGUUGGGAGGAAGGGCAUUAACCUAAUACGUUAGUGUUUUGACGUUACCGACAGAAUAAGCACCGGCUAACUUCGUGCCAGCAGCCGCGGUAAUACGAAGGGUGCAAGCGUUAAUCGGAAUUACUGGGCGUAAAGCGCGCGUAGGUGGUUCGUUAAGUUGGAUGUGAAAGCCCCGGGCUCAACCUGGGAACUGCAUCGAAAACUGGCGAGCUAGAGUACGGUAGAGGGUGGUGGAAUUUCCUGUGUAGCGGUGAAAUGCGUAGAUAUAGGAAGGAACACCAGUGGCGAAGGCGACCACCUGGACUGAUACUGACACUGAGGUGCGAAAGCGUGGGGAGCAAACAGGAUUAGAUACCCCAGUAGUCC
rnacentral:rRNA from 1 species